rnacentral:misc_RNA from 1 species
GCAAACUUGGUCAUUUAGAGGAAGUAAAAGUCGUAACAAGGUUUCCGUAGGUGAACCUGCGGAAGGAUCAUUACCGAGUUCGGUGCCCUCUGGGUGCCCACUCCCACCACAUGUGUACCUGUUCUGUUGCUUCGGCGGGGCGCGGUUCGCCCCUCUGGCUUCUGCUGGAGCGUCCCCGCCGGAGACCCUCAAACUCGAUUAAUUUGAUGUCUGAGCAAAACUUGAUAAAUCAAAACUUUCAACAACGGAUCUCUUGGUUCUGGCAUCGAUGAAGAACGCAGC